UCUGAAAUGGCCUCCCAUAAUUGUGAGGGUGAGGGGUUCUUUUAUAGAAUAAGGACUCCUCACUUAUUGCAUAUUUGCCCCUUCCUUUAUUGCAUAAUUACAUUUAAGUCCCCCGAGUAUUUAUACGAGGUCUAAAUACGGAGGCCCUAAGUAUGGUACAAACAGUAGUCCCCCAAGUCUUCAGUCAAGAAAGUCUUUUGGCUAGAGACUUGAAAUUCAAUCCAUGUAUGGGCCGAAGUAACUAGAUGGCAUCUGGCGCUAAUACUCGACAUGAGGCGGUGCCCAAUUUGAAAUGAUGUUCAACUAGAAGUAGCACAUGUUGCGAGGCUGCUCGGCUUGUGGCUUAUGUUGCCUUGGUUGGCUCGGCUUGUGGUGUUGAAGGUGAGGGAGUCCCUUUUAUAGAAUAAGGGCUCGCUCCUCAAUACAUAAAUGAUGGGCUAGAGUUGAUGCUCACGGCGAGGCAGUUGCUCAGUAGGCAGCGAUGCUCUCUAAUGAUGGUGAGGGAGUCCCUUUUAUAGAAUAAGGGCUCGCUCAUCAAUACAUGAAUAAUGGGUGCUCUCUAAUGAAAAUGAGGGAGUCCCUUUUAUAGAAUAAGGGCUCGCUCCUUAAUACAUAAAUAAUAGGCUAAGUUCCCCAAGUAUUUUACAUGAGGCCCAAUAUAUGGUACAUGUUGAUGCACAAAACUGGAGGUCUUGGAACAACGUAAAUCCGACCGUGAAUCUGCAAUAAAUGUAAAUAACACAAGAUUUAUCGUGCUUCACCCCAAGGUUUGGCCUACGUCCACACUGAAUAUGUAUUUAUUUAAGGGAGAGAGGGAGCUCUGAAAGUGAGAGCUUUGAGAGGGGUGAAAGGGCCUAGGAAUUGGCCUCUGAAAUGGCCUCCCAUAAUUGUGAGGGUGAGGGGUUCUUUUAUAGAAUAAGGACUCCUCACUUAUUACAUAUUUGCCCCUUCCUUUAUUGCAUAAUUACAUUUAAGUCCCCCGAGUAUUUAUACGAGGUCUAAAUACGGAGGCCCUAAGUAUGGUACAAACAGUAGUCCCCCAAGUCUUCAGUCAAGAAAGUCUUUUGGCUAGAGACUUGAAAUUCAAUCCAUGUGUGGGACGAAGUAACUAGAUGGCGUCUGGCGCUGAUACUCGACAUGAGGCGGUGCCCAAUUUGAAAUGAUGCUAAACUAGAAGUAGCACAUGUUGCGAAGCUGCUCGGCUUGUGGUUUAUGUUGCCUUGGUUGGCUCGGCUUAUGGUGUUGAAGGUGAGGGAGUCCCUUUUAUAGAAUAAAGGCUCGCUCCUCAAUACAUAAAUGAUGGGCUAGAGUUGAUGCUCGCGACGAGGUAGUUGCUCAGUAGGCGGCGAUGCUCUCUAAUGAUGGUGAGGGAGUCCCUUUUAUAGAAUAAGGGCUCGCUCCUCAAUACAUGAAUAAUGGGUGCUCUCUAAUGAAAAUGAGGGAGUCCCUUUUAUAGAAUAAGGGCUCGCUGAUGUGAGAAUUACUUGACACACAAAUUAAACCCUAUUGAUGACAAUUGUAGUAAUGAUGCAAGUAGGGAUCGUUCUAGACCGGGGAUUAACUAGGGAUGCUAAUCAACAAAUAUAAGACUCAAGAAUAUAAGAAGAAACUUAAAAACACAAAAGUAGGUUUUAAAACACUAAACUAGACUCAAAGAGUUCAAAACACUUUAAGGCACAAACUAAACAAACUUAAACACACUUCGAUACAAGAAAGUAAAUGGGAGGUAUUGGUUUGGAUGAGAUUGAGAUAACAACAAAAAGUAAAACUAAAUAGAUGGUUGAUGGAUUAGCUAGAGAUCCAUUCUUCACACAUGACACACUUGUACAUGAAUUGAUUUCCAGUUGCUUUUCAAUAGAUUAUGAAACUCAACACCCCAGAUUAACCGUGAUGCACUAAUUAAUUCUCAGAUUUUCCUUGAUUUAUUGAAUUGGAUGAAUGCAUACGACAAUCCAAAUUAUUCUCCAAAAGUCCUCUACAUGAAUGCAUAAUAGAGAUACAAUUAAAGAUCAUUACGUUCUAUGAAAAUCAUAAGUGUUAACGAGGCAUUCGUAACUAUGAAUGCAUGAUACGUUUGCCAAGAAUUCAAUUAACGCGAUUGUGACUAGCAACCUUCAC
rnacentral:lncRNA from 1 species